rnacentral:rRNA from 1 species
CCUACGGGUGGCAGCAGUGAGGAAUAUUGGUCAAUGGACGAGAGUCUGAACCAGCCAAGUAGCGUGAAGGAUGACGGCCCUAUGGGUUGUAAACUUCUUUUAUAAAGGAAUAAAACGAGGCACGUGUGCCGUUCUGCAUGUACUCGAUGAAAAAGGAUCGGCUAACUCCGUGCCAGCAGCCGCGGUAAUACGGAGGAUGCGAGCGUUAUCCGGAUUUAUUGGGGUUAAAGGGAGCGGAGCUGGGUUGUUAAGUCAGUUGUGAAAGUUUGCGGCUCAACCGUAUACUUGCCAUUGAUACUGGCAGUCUUGAGUACAGGUGAGGUAGGCGGAAUUCGUGGUGUAGCGGUGAAAUGCUUAGAUAUCACGAAGAACCCCGAUUGCGAAGGCAGCUUACUAACCCGUAACUGACAUUGAUGCACGAAAGUGUGGGUAUCGAACAGGAUUAGAUACCCUGGUAGUC